GACGUAGGGCGUGAGCGUUGUCCGGAUUUAUUGGGCGUAAAGCGCACGUAGGCGGACUUUUAAGUCAGGGGUGAAAUCCCGGGGCUCAACCUCGGAACUGCCUUUGAUACUGGAAGUCUUGAGUAUGGAAGAGGUAAGUGGAAUUGCGAGUGUAGAGGUGAAAUUCGUAGAUAUUCGCAGGAACACCAGUGGCGAAGGCGGCUUACUGGUCCAUUACUGACGCUGAGGUGCGAAAGCGUGGGGAGCAAACAGG
rnacentral:rRNA from 1 species